UCCGAGGUAGCUCAGUUGGUAGAGCAGGCGGCUGUUAACCGCCAGGUCGGAGGUUCGAGCCCUCUCCUCGGAG
rnacentral:tRNA from 1 species